GGGUUUGAAGCACAUAUGGAUGUGCGGCUGGCUGUUAACCAGAUGGUAGUGGGUUCGAGUCCCACCUUUCCCG
rnacentral:tRNA from 1 species